rnacentral:rRNA from 1 species
GUACACGCUGUGACUAGCAUAUCAAUAAGCGGAGGAAAAGAAACUAACAAGGAUUCCCCUAGUAACGGCGAGUGAAGCGGGAAGAGCUCAAAUUUGAAAUCUUAAAGGGUUUCCCUUUACGAAUUGUAGUUUAAAGAAGUGUUUUCUGUUGAGGUUUUGGUAAAAGUUCUUUGGAAUAGGACAUCAUAGAGGGUGAGAAUCCCGUAUUUGACCUUUACUUUCAACUUUGUGAUACACUUUCAAAGAGUCGGAUUGUUUGGGAAUGCAGUCCGAAAUGGGUGGUAAAUUUCAUCUAAAGCUAAAUAUUGGCGAGAGACCGAUAGCGAACAAGUACCGUGAGGGAAAGAUGAAAAGAACUUUGAAAAGAGAGUUAAACAGUACGUGAAAUUGUCAAAAGGGAAGCGUUUGACACCAGUGUUGUUUUUCUGAAAAUCAAUUAAAGAACUGUUUAUGCUAAGCUGUUUAGACUUUAUCAGCUAAUCUGUUUAGUUUUGAGCUUUUCUUUAAUGCACCUUUUCAGUUAACAAGUCAACAUCAAUUUCUUUUGCUGUAAAAAAGCUUGAGGAAGGUGGCUUGAGAUUUGUCUUAAGUGUUUAUAGCCUCUUGCCUAUGCAGUCGGAGAGAUUGAGGUCUGCAGCGUAGAUCCUUCGGGGCUAAAUGCAUUUGUGCUAAGUUAUAGCAUUUCAUAGACAACUUGUUGACUAUGAUUUGUCUUGUAGCUUACUCGCUUAUGUUAUUUUACCUACGCUUAGGAUGUUGAGUCGUAGAGCACGCAG